rnacentral:rRNA from 1 species
GACGAACGCUGGCGGCGUGCUUAACACAUGCAAGUCGAACGGAAAGGCCCUGCUUUUGUGGGGUGCUCGAGUGGCGAACGGGUGAGUAACACGUGAGUAACCUGCCCUUGACUUUGGGGUAACUUCAGGAAACUGGGGCUAAUACCGGAUAGGAGCUCCUGCUGCAUGGUGGGGGUUGGAAAGUUUCGGCGGUUGGGGAUGGACUCGCGGCUUAUCAGCUUGUUGGUGGGGUAGUGGCUUACCAAGGCUUUGACGGGUAGCCGGCCUGAGAGGGUGACCGGCCACAUGGGGACUGAGAUACGGCCCAGACUCCUACGGGAGGCAGCAGUGGGGAAUAUUGCACAAUGGGCGGAAGCCUGAUGCAGCAACGCCGCGUGCGGGAUGACGGCCUUCGGGUUGUAAACCGCUUUCGCCUGUGACGAAGCGUGAGUGAUGGUAAUGGGGAAAGAAGCACCGGCUAACUACGU